rnacentral:rRNA from 1 species
GACCGGUGCUUGCACUGGUCAAUCUAGUGGCGAACGGGUGAGUAACACGUGGGUAACCCGCCCAUCAGAGGGGGAUAACAUCCGGAAACGGAUGCUAAAACCGCAUAGGUCUUCGAACCGCAUGGUUUGAAGAGGAAAAGAGGCGCAAGCUUCUGCUGAUGGAUGGACCCGCGGUGCAUUAGCUAGUUGGUGAGGUAACGGCUCACCAAGGCCGUGAUGCAUAGCCGACCUGAGAGGGUGAUCGGCCACAUUGGGACUGAGACACGGCCCAAACUCCUACGGGAGGCAGCAGUAGGGAAUCUUCCGCAAUGGACGCAAGUCUGACGGAGCAGCGCCGCGUGAGUGAAGAAGGUUUUCGGAUCGUAAAACUCUGUUGUUAGAGAAGAACAAGUGCUAGAGUAACUGUUAGCGCCUUGACGGUAUCUAACCAGAAAGCCACGGCUAACUACGUGCCAGCAGCCGCGGUAAUACGUAGGUGGCAAGCGUUGUCCGGAUUUAUUGGGCGUAAAGCGAGCGCAGGCGGUUCCUUAAGUCUGAUGUGAAAGCCCUCGGCUCAACCGGGGAGGGUCAUUGGAAACUGGGGAACUUGAGUGCAGAAGAGGAGAGUGGAAUUCCAUGUGUAGCGGUGAAAUGCGUAGAUAUAUGGAGGAACACCAGUGGCGAAGGCGACUCUCUGGUCUGUAACUGACGCUGAGGCUCGAAAGCGUGGGUAGCAAACAGGAUUAGAUACCCUGGUAGUCCACGCCGUAAACGAUGAGUGCUAAGUGUUGGAGGGUUUCCGCCCUUCAGUGCUGCAGUU